GGCCGUGUGGCGAAAUGGCAUCGCGUCUGACUACGAUUCAGAGCAUCGCGAUCAGGAGAUUGUAGGUUCGACCCCUACCUCGGUCA
rnacentral:tRNA from 1 species